UUUCUAUAUAUUUUUAUUGAGAAGAGGUAGCAGUGUCGUUAUUACAAAUAAAAAUAGUUACGAUUUUAGUGUGAUCCGGCAUCUCGUUAACAGUCAACAUGAUGUCAAAACAUUCAAUUCAGGCUAUCGCCAGAACUGUUGCCGUUUAUGAAGCCGUCAAUGAAAUUGUUUUAGGGAUAUUUGGCACAAUCAAGUCAGCUUCUUGGAUUUACAUUUAUGGAACAUUCAAAGAAGACUUUAAUGAAAGGACCAUCGACCCAUAUUUUUAUUUUUUCAUAGUAGCUGCUAUAUUGUGCUUUUUUAAAGGACGUCUUCUGUUAAGCAGCAUAAAACAGAGAAGGAAAGAAGGACUUCAGAUUUAUCUUAUCCUAACUACUUUAAUUUUAAUAAUCGCCAAAGGAUUUCUCAUUCAUGAAGCAAUUGACAGAAGACCACUAGUGCAAGCAUUGUCAGAACCUGGGGAAAGGUUAGAUGUGUAUUAUAAAUUCCGGUAUUUUCUGUUGUAUCCUUUGAUUUUUCUCACUGCUUGGUUUUUCCAACUGUGUGUGAUUUUGUUCUAUCGAGAAGUGGCAAGGAAUCCCGUUGUAAAUGGACGUGUGGAAACUGGUCAAGAAGAAAUGAAUAUGCACAGGCAAACCCAAUACCCAUGAGAUAACGUCAUAAUUGUGUACAAGGUGAUACCGCCACUAUUCUUCCAACUGUGAUCUUGGAAAUCGUACAAGAAACGACUAGGAUAAUUAAAAAAAAAAUUGCCAUUAACUCUACAUGUGUUUGUAAUUUGAAUAAUCAACACUAGAGAGUAUAUUCAUCGGGCGAGAAAAAAACGUCCAAGUUAAUCAAUGAUUGAAGUUUGAUGUCUGAAGUAGAUCCAAAAAUGAUAAACGUUUAAUGUCAUCACGUCACAUCAAGCUAGUGUACAGAAUUAUAAUUACCCUUAUAUUUAUGUUGGUAUUUUUUUAUUUUGCUUUUGUGGUUUAUUAUUCUGUGAUGUAUGAAGUAAAAUAAAAUAUAUUUUUU